rnacentral:rRNA from 1 species
ACGCUCGACACCUACGGGAGGCAGCAGUGAGGAAUAUUGGUCAAUGGGCGCUAGCCUGAACCAGCCAAGUAGCGUGAAGGAUGAAGGCUCUAUGGGUCGUAAACUUCUUUUAUAUAAGAAUAAAGUGCAGUAUGUAUACUGUUUUGUAUGUAUUAUAUGAAUAAGGAUCGGCUAACUCCGUGCCACAGCCGCGGUAAUCUGAGCGGGCUGCAAGGC